GACGAACGCUGGCGGCGUGCUUAACACAUGCAAGUCGAACGAAGUGGCGAACGGGUGAGUAACGCGUAAGCAACCUGCCCUUCAGAGGGGGACACCAGUUGGAAACGACUGCUACACCCGCAUACUGACGGAGGGGUUUGCGUGUGAUUAGCUAGUUGGAGGGGUAACGGCCCACCAAGGCGAAGAUCAGUAGCCGGUCUGGGAGGAUGAACGGCCACAUUGGGACUGGGACACGGCCCAGACUCCUACGGGAGGGAGCAGUGGGGAAUCUUCCGAAAUGGACGAAAGUCUGACGGAGCAACGCCGCGUGAGUGAUGACGGCCUUCGGGUUUUAAAGCUCUGUUAAUCGGGACGCGGUACCGGAAUAGAAAGCAACGGCUAACUACGUGCCAGCAGCCGCGGUAAUAC
rnacentral:rRNA from 1 species